UACGUAGGGGGCAAGCGUUGUCCGGAUUUACUGGGCGUAAAGCGUGCGCAGGCGGUGAUGUAAGACAGAUGUGAAAUCCCCGGGCUCAACCUGGGAACUGCAUUUGUGACUGCAUCGCUGGAGUGCGGCAGAGGGGGAUGGAAUUCCGCGUGUAGCAGUGAAAUGCGUAGAUAUGCGGAGGAACACCGAUGGCGAAGGCAAUCCCCUGGGCCUGCACUGACGCUCAUGCACGAAAGCGUGGGGAGCAAACAGG
rnacentral:rRNA from 1 species